CAGUCGAGCGAAUGGAUUAAGAGCUUGCUCUUAUGAAGUUAGCGGCGGACGGGUGAGUAACACGUGGGUAACCUGCCCAUAAGACUGGGAUAACUCCGGGAAACCGGGGCUAAUACCGGAUAACAUUUUGAACCGCAUGGUUCGAAAUUGAAAGGCGGCUUCGGCUGUCACUUAUGGAUGGACCCGCGUCGCAUUAGCUAGUUGGUGAGGUAACGGCUCACCAAGGCAACGAUGCGUAGCCGACCUGAGAGGGUGAUCGGCCACACUGGGACUGAGACACGGCCCAGACUCCUACGGGAGGCAGCAGUAGGGAAUCUUCCGCAAUGGACGAAAGUCUGACGGAGCAACGCCGCGUGAGUGAUGAAGGCUUUCGGGUCGUAAAACUCUGUUGUUAGGGAAGAACAAGUGCUAGUUGAAUAAGCUGGCACCUUGACGGUACCUAACCAGAAAGCCACGGCUAACUACGUGCCAGCAGCCGCGGUAAUACGUAGGUGGCAAGCGUUAUCCGGAAUUAUUGGGCGUAAAGCGCGCGCAGGUGGUUUCUUAAGUCUGAUGUGAAAGCCCACGGCUCAACCGUGGAGGGUCAUUGGAAACUGGGAGACUUGAGUGCAGAAGAGGAAAGUGGAAUUCCAUGUGUAGCGGUGAAAUGCGUAGAGAUAUGGAGGAACACCAGUGGCGAAGGCGACUUUCUGGUCUGUAACUGACACUGAGGCGCGAAAGCGUGGGGAGCAAACAGGAUU
rnacentral:rRNA from 1 species